UAGUUUUGAAGAGGUCGCAUGAAUCAUCAGUAUGAUUAGCUAGGUGGACAAACGCUGGAACUAAUCAGAAAGGGAAACGUGCCGAAACAACUUACUGUUUGUCCGGUAAGGAGUUGGGGGAUUGUUGAAGAAGCAAUUCACUGUCGUGGAAAUCACGGAGCGCUUCGUUAAAG
rnacentral:ncRNA from 2 species